GAUGGCGACCGGCGCACGGGUGAGUAACACGUAUCCAACCUGCCGAUGACUCGGGGAUAGCCUUUCGAAAGAAAGAUUAAUACCCGAUGGCAUAGUUCUUCCGCAUGGUGGAACUAUUAAAGAAUUUCGGUUAUCGAUGGGGAUGCGUUCCAUUAGGCAGUUGGUGGGGUAAUGGCCCACCAAACCUUCGAUGGAUAGGGGUUCUGAGAGGAAGGUCCCCCACAUUGGAACUGAGACACGGUCCAAACUCCUACGGGAGGCAGCAUG
rnacentral:rRNA from 1 species